CCUACGGGGGGCUGCAGUGAGGAAUAUUGGUCAAUGGACGAGAGUCUGAACCAGCCAAGUAGCGUGAAGGAUGACUGCCCUAUGGGUUGUAAACUUCUUUUAUAUGGGAAUAAAACGUUCCACGUGUGGGAUUUUGUAUGUACCAUAUGAAUAAGGAUCGGCUAACUCCGUGCCAGCAGCCGCGGUAAUACGGAGGAUCCGAGCGUUAUCCGGAUUUAUUGGGUUUAAAGGGAGCGUAGGUGGAUUGUUAAGUCAGUUGUGAAAGUUUGCGGCUCAACCGUAAAAUUGAAGUUGAAACUGGCAGUCUUGAGUACAGUAGAGGUGGGCGGAAUUCGUGGUGUAGCGGUGAAAUGCUUAGAUAUCACGAAGAACUCCGAUUGCGAAGGCAGUUCACUGGACUGCAACUGACACUGAGGCUCGAAAGUGUGGGUAUCAAACAGGAUUAGAUACCCCUGUAGUC
rnacentral:rRNA from 1 species